CCUGCUCCUCCAUUGUUAAGACGUGUGCGCUUUUCCUUCACCUUCCACCAUAAUUUUUGGGAGCCUGGGAAGUACAAAAUCAAGGCGCCAGCAGAUUUCAGUGUCUGGAGAAAACCUGCUUCCUCAAAGGUCUUGACGUUGGGAAGUAAAAGAUCAGAGUGCUGGCAGAUUUUGGUGUCUAGUAAAGGACGGCUUUCUAGUGUAUAGAUAACACCUUCUAUCCAUGUCCUCACAUGGUGAAAAAGUGACUGUAAGUUUCCUGAGGCCUCCCCAGAAGCAGAAGCCUGUAUACUCGGCAGAAGUGAGGUGGCUGGCAAGAUGGCUAAAGAUGAACAGCUCCAGUCUGCAGCUCCCAGUGAGAUCAAUGCAGAAGGUGGGUGAUUUCUGCAUUUGCAACUGAGGUACCUGGUUCAUCUCACUGGGACUGGUCAGAGUGUGUGUGCGGCCCACGGAGGGUGAGCAGAAGCAGGGUGGGGCAUCGCCUCACCCAGGAAGCGCAAGGGGUCUGGGAACUCCCUCCCCUAGCCAAGAGAAGCCAUGACAGACUGUGCUGUGAGGAACCAUGCACUCCGGCCCAGACACUAUGCUUUUCCCACAGUCUUUGCAACCCUCAGACCAGGAGAUUCUCUAGGGUACCUACACAACCAGGACCCUGGGUUUCAAGCACAAAACUGGGUGGCCAUUUGGUCAGAUACCAAGCUAGCUGCAGAAGUUGUUUUUUUCAUACCACAGUGGCGCCUGGAACGCUAUCAAGACAGAACCAUUCACUCCCCUGGGAAGGGGGCUGAAGCCAGGGAGACAAGUGGUCUAACUCAGUGGAUCCCACCCCCAGGGCGCCCAGCAAGCUAAGAUCCACUGGCUUGAAGUUCUUGCUGCCAGCACAGCAGUUUGAAGUUGACCUGGGAUGCUCGAGCUUGGCACGGGGAGGGGCGUCCACCAUUACUGAGGCUUCAGUAGGUGGUUUUCCCCUCGCAGCCUAAACAAAACCCCAGGGGAGUUCGAACUGGGCAGAGCACAUCACAGCUCACCAAAGCCGCUGUAGCCAGCCUGCCUCUCUAGAUUCCCCCUCUCUGGGCAGGGCAUCCAUGAAAGAAAGGCAGCAGCCCCAGUCAGGGGCUUAUAGAUAAAACUCCCAACUCCCUGGGAUAGAGCACCUGGGGGAAGGGCAGCUGUGGGCACAGCUAUAGCAGACUUAAACGUUCCUGCCGGCCAGCUCUGAAGAGAGCAGCAGAUCUCUCAGGACAGCACUCAAGCUCUGCUAAGGGACAGACUGCUUCCUCAAGUGGGUCCCUGACUCCCAUGCCUCCUGAUGGGGAGACACCUCCCAGCAGGGAUCGACAGACACCUCAUACAGGAGAGCUCUGGCUGGCAUCUGGCAGAUGCCCCUCUGUGACAGAGCUUCCAGAGGAAAGAACAAGCAGCAAUCUUUGAUUGCCUGGGUGAUACCCAGGCAAACAGGGUCUGAAGUGGACCUCCAGCAAACUCUAGCAGACCUGCAGCAGACAGUAUUGACCGUUAGAAGGAAAGCUAACAGAAAAAAAUAACAUCAACAUCAACAAAAAGGAUGUCCACACAAAAAACCCAUCCGAAGGUCACCAACAUCAAAGACCAAAGGUAGAUAAAUCCACAAAGAUGAGGAAAAACCAGUGCAAAAAGGCUAAAAAUUUCAAAAAACAGAAUGCCUCUUCUCCUCCGAAAAAUCACAACUCUUCGCCAGCAAGGGAACAAAACUGGAUGGAGAAUGAGUUUGACAAAUUGACAGAAGUAGGCUUCAAAAGGUGGGUAAUAACAAACUCCUCCAAGG
rnacentral:lncRNA from 10 species